rnacentral:rRNA from 1 species
UACGUAGGGUCCGAGCGUUGUCCGGAAUUAUUGGGCGUAAAGAGCUCGUAGGCGGCUUGUCGCGUCGGUUGUGAAAGCCCGGGGCUUAACCCCGGGUCUGCAGUCGAUACGGGCAGGCUAGAGUGUGGUAGGGGAGAUCGGAAUUCCUGGUGUAGCGGUGAAAUGCGCAGAUAUCAGGAGGAACACCGGUGGCGAAGGCGGAUCUCUGGGCCAUUACUGACGCUGAGGAGCGAAAGCGUGGGGAGCGAACAGG